UACGUAGGGGGCAAGCGUUGUCCGGAUUUAUUGGGCGUAAAGAGCGUGUAGGCGGCCUGACAGGUCUGCUGUGAAAACUCGAGGCUCAACCUCGAGAUGUCGGCGAAAACCGUCUGGCUAGAGUCCGGAAGAGGAGAGUGGAAUUCCUGGUGUAGCGGUGAAAUGCGCAGAUAUCAGGAAGAACACCUAUGGCGAAGGCAGCUCUCUGGGACGGUACUGACGCUGAGACGCGAAAGCGUGGGGAGCGAACAGG
rnacentral:rRNA from 1 species